AACGAACGCUGGCGGCAGGCCUAACACAUGCAAGUCGAGCGCCCUUUCGGGGGAGCGGCGGACGGGUGAGUAACGCGUGGGAAUAUGCCCUUCUCUACGGAAUAGCCUCGGGAAACUGAGAGUAAUACCGUAUACGCCCUACGGGGGAAAGAUUUAUCGGGGAAGGAUUAGCCCGCGUUGGAUUAGGUAGUUGGUGGGGUAAUGGCCUACCAAGCCGACGAUCCAUAGCUGGUUUGAGAGGAUGAUCAGCCACACUGGGACUGAGACACGGCCCAGACUCCUACGGGAGGCAGCAGUGGGGAAUCUUAGACAAUGGGGGCAACCCUGAUCUAGCCAUGCCGCGUGAGUGAUGAAGGCCUUAGGGUUGUAAAGCUCUUUCAGCUGGGAAGAUAAUGACGUACCAGCAGAGAGCCCC
rnacentral:rRNA from 1 species